rnacentral:rRNA from 1 species
GACGAACGCUGGCGGCGUGCUUAACACAUGCAAGUCGAACGGAAAGGCCCUGCUUUUGUGGGGUGCUCGAGUGGCGAACGGGUGGGUAACACGUGAGUAACCUGCCCUUGACUUUGGGAUAACUUCAGGAAACUGGGGCUAAUACCGGAUAGGAGCUCCUGCUGCAUGGUGGGGGUUGGAAAGUUUCGGCGGUUGGGGAUGGACUCGCGGCUUAUCAGCUUGUUGGUGGGGUAGUGGCUUACCAAGGCUUUGACGGGUAGCCGGCCUGAGAGGGUGACCGGCCACAUUGGGACUGAGAUACGGCCCAGACUCCUACGGGAGGCAGCAGUGGGGAAUAUUGCACAAUGGGCGGAAGCCUGAUGCAGCAACGCCGCGUGCGGGAUGACGGCCUUCGGGUUGUAAACCGCUUUCGCCUGUGACGAAGCGUGAGUGACGGUAAUGGGUAAAGAAGCACCGGCUAACUACGUGCCAGCAGCCGCGGUGAUACGUAGGGUGCGAGCGUUGUCCGGAUUUAUUGGGCGUAAAGGGCUCGUAGGUGGUUGAUCGCGUCGGAAGUGUAAUCUUGGGGCUUAACCCUGAGCGUGCUUUCGAUACGGGUUGACUUGAGGAAGGUAGGGGAGAAUGGAAUUCCUGGUGGAGCGGUGGAAUGCGCAGAUAUCAGGAGGAACACCAGUGGCGAAGGCGGUUCUCUGGGCCUUUCCUGACGCUGAGGAGCGAAAGCGUGGGGAGCGAACAGGCUUAGAUACCCUGGUAGUCCACGCUGUAAACGGUGGGUACUAGGUGUGGGGUCCAUUCCACGGGUUCCGUGCCGUAGCUAACGCUUUAAGUACCCCGCCUGGGGAGUACGGCCGCAAGGCUAAAACUCAAAGGAAUUGACGGGGCCCCGCACAAGCGGCGGAGCAUGCGGAUUAAUUCGAUGCAACGCGUAGAACCUUACCUGGGUUUGACAUGGAUCGGGAGUGCUCAGAGAUGGGUGUGCCUCUUUUGGGGUCGGUUCACAGGUGGUGCAUGGCUGUCGUCAGCUCGUGUCGUGAGAUGUUGGGUUAAGUCCCGCAACGAGCGCAACCCUUGUUCACUGUUGCCAGCACGUUAUGGUGGGGACUCAGUGGAGACCGCCGGGGUCAACUCGGAGGAAGGUGGGGAUGACGUCAAGUCAUCAUGCCCCUUAUGUCCAGGGCUUCACGCAUGCUACAAUGGCUGGUACAGAGAGUGGCGAGCCUGUGAGGGUGAGCGAAUCUCGGAAAGCCGGUCUCAGUUCGGAUUGGGGUCUGCAACUCGACCUCAUGAAGUCGGAGUCGCUAGUAAUCGCAGAUCAGCAACGCUGCGGUGAAUAAGUUCCCGGGGCU